AAUCCAAAUAAAUGUUAGUUAAACAUCAAAUUUACGUCUCUUAAAAAACAAAUCAUGUGUUUCUAUCACAGGUAGAACCAGGUUUUAACACAUCACAUGCUUCUGCCAGAAUAAAGGUGCCGCCGAGACACCUUGAGCACACCUCUGAAAUCUUUGCUUGAGGAAACUAAAGUCGAUAAAUUCUGCUUCUCGUGAGAAAGAAAAUUUUAUCCAAACUAUCCAUAAAUGUUUUCCUGUUUCAAUGGAACAGCAUGGCAUCACCAUACCCUACCUGCAAAUCUCAAGGGCAAGACAACUCACUUGGUGGACAUAACAAGCAAUCUGGCCUCCACAUCGACAAUCCAGAUGGCUGUUAGUAGCUGAGCGGGGCUGGCCAUCAGCAAACUCAAUCCAGCUCCUUUAUUACGGGCGACCUUCUCCCUGUGGCCUGCAAGCCACAUGGUCUUGUCUAAGGGACUGUGUGUUUUGAAUGUAAUGGGUGUUUUUCAAUUUCUAACAUCCACACCUCGGUUCAUUUUUAAAACUCAUGUGCCAUUUGGAAAUGUGCUAAAUGGGAAACCGUG
rnacentral:lncRNA from 1 species